GGGCCUGUAGCUCAGUUGGUAGAGCAUGGUGUUUGCAACGCCAGGGUUGUGGGUUCGAUUCCCACGGGGGGCCA
rnacentral:tRNA from 1 species